GAAUGUGGGGGCGGCUCCCAACAAAGUAAGGCGCUUCCUACACCCAUUUCCAGCUGGCCAAGUAGGACCAAGAUAAUCAUCACGGAGGAAGAGGAGAGGUGGGGAUGCCUCUCAGAUCAAAGUCUUCAAAGGCAAACCAGCUGCAUGUUUGUGAAGAUCGUGUUUGGCUCCGGCUCAAGCAGACAGCCCUGAAUGAGAUUCUUGGGGUAGCUACUGAAAACUGGCAGCAGAAGCAGAGCCGGGUUUAUUUCAGAGGGCGUGUUAAGAAGCUGGACCCUUUCCUGGAAAAUCAGCUCCAGUGGAUUAAGAGCUCAUUUAUGAAAAUGAAACCACCACAGAGGCAGUGGCCAAGAGGGGAGAUGACAUCAAGGUUCCUAAAUAAGACACCAGACAUACUAGGCCUGCUUAUCAAACCACAAUUAACAGCAGACAACAAUAGCCAACAAGCAACAGCAGCCAAAACCAACCAACAACCCAACAAUAACCCACCUAUCAGAGCUCUAGCAUUUAUAUAAUACCCUCUGAAAAGUCUCCAGAAUUCCAGACACCCAUACACUCACAGAAACCAUAUGCAGCUGGCAAAAUCACGCCCCUGCUAGAGCAUGAGGCAAAUCAUAGUCAGCUAUGGUGGGCAGUCUGAAGCAGCCCCGUACCUCACACCUAGGAUUAAGACAAAAAUAUAUUCUUAAAUAUUCCUGUGGGUUUUUGGGUUUUUUUUUUUUACUUGGUUUGGUUUUUUUUGUUUUUCGAGACAAAGUUUCUCUGUAUAGCCCUGGCUGUCCUGGAACUCACUCUGUAGACCAGGCUGGCCUUGAACUCAGAAAUCCACCUGCCUCUGCCUCCCAAGUGUGCCACCACGCCCGGCUAUUCCUGUGGUUUUUUUUUUUUUUUUUUAAGAAACCAAAACUCCCAAUUUGUCACUAUAGAUAUUAUUUUAAGAUAAACAAGCAGAUUACAGAAAGAAUGAGUCUGCUCUGGUUUUAUUUUGAGAUAGGGUUUCUUAGUUUAACCCCGGCACUCACCAGGCUGGCCUCAAACUCACAGAGAUGGCCUGCCUCUGCCUCCCAAGUGAUUGAAGGUGUGCGCCAUUAUCACCCAGCAAGUUUGGCUCUCCGUUCUACUCCACAAAUACACUCUUCAUUUUGACCCAAAGAUUUUGACUCACACUUGGGUUCAUUUGGUCUGCUGACAUUCAGGCCCAUACUUACAUACUUCCUGUCCCCCAACGCUUAGCAGCAAACUGCACUUGGUAUAACCCUAGAUUUGUCUUUCUCUUCUUUUCAGUCUCACAGCACCUUGAGGCUCGUCCUUAUGAAUUAGGACUUGGUUGUCCUGCAUCAGCAAAGCUGUGUGACCUUCUUGGAAACCAGAGAGGCAGGAUUGAUGCUGACGCUUCAUAGGCUGUGGUAACCACGUGACUCACCGCCACGUGUCCACGCAGAAAAGUUACCCCUUGUUCAGCGCAUCCUCAGUGCAGCCCCAAGGCUGAAGUCGCCAGUACCCACCUCUCUGGGCAGCCCAGUGAUGUCCCUCAGCGAUGAGACUUCAGCAAAGGUCCCCCAAGAGUGGGCUGCACUGUUGGCAAACCUCCUCAGGAACGGCUCCUCGGUGGUGGUCCCUCAGCAGCAACAACCUCUCAAGAAUGGUCCCUGGCGACUGCCCCUUAGCAACAGCUCCUCACAAAUGACCCCUAGAAAGUGGUCCAGUAACUAGGUCGCCUCCCAGAAACAGAUCCUCGGCGACGGUUCCUCAGCACUGGCCCCCGCAGAAUCAGUUCCUUAAGCCGCUAGACCAUGGCCUCUUAACGGCCCGACUGCCCCCAGCCACCGUGGGUCUGAGGCUGCGUAGUUUGGGCGCGCAGCUCCAUGGCAACGGAAGGCUGCUUUGGGGUAGCGGGCGGGGCUGAGGCUGCGGAGGGAGAGCUUGUGCGCAGGCGUAGUGCAACAGCGGGGGUAAAGUGGGACGAGCAUCGCGGAGGGCAGAGUCAAAGCUGACUGUUGCCCAGACGAUUCUCCUGGAGACUGGGGCAGGUGCUCGAGAACUUGUCUAAAGCCAGUUGAAACUUGGGUCAACUGCUUACUUAAAAGACCAUUUACGCAGAAGUUAGGAUCUCCUGCGUCUCUUGGAUCUGAAUUCUGGCUCUCCCAGGGCUUUGCAGCCUGUGUUGUGCCCUCUAGGUGGUGACAUCUGACUCCUCUGGAUAACUCACAGGACUCUUUGGAUUGUUUUUGGUCGUUUAAGUUGGCGUGGUCACUAGUCCGGGCAGGAGGUGGGCUCAACAGUGGACAGGACAUGUUCCCUUUCCUCAGAGUCGCAGGGAUGACUGGCAACUCCUGUAGUUUUGUCUUGGAGAUGGAGAACCUUCAGCGUUAAGAAGUCCUCAAAAUAAUACAGAGCCUGUGGAAAUGUCAGUGGAGAUUGGUGGGGGGUACCUCUGCACUCCCUUCAGAUACUUUGCCUGUGAAAUACCACUGCAAUACUGUAUAGGUGUGUGUGUGGCUGGGGAUCGAACCCAGGUGUUCUAUAAGUUUAGAGCUUUGUGUAUGGAAGCCGGAUGUCCUAGUAAAGCAAUUUGGGAAAGAUAGCCAGUUGGUUUGUAACCUUUAGCUGAGGGAGAAUGUGAACUGGGCCUCCUACUCUGGGUUGACCCUGGUAUAUGGCUGAGCAGAGAGGGUUGUGAAGUAACCAUAUCCAAUACUAAUAUUUGUGGUAUGAAGUAUAAUCCCCACUAUAGUAAAAUAAGUGAAUAAAUUGGUCUUCUCUUUCA
rnacentral:lncRNA from 1 species